UGGGGAAUUUUGGACAAUGGGCGAAAGCCUGAUCCAGCAAUGCCGCGUGUGUGAAGAAGGCCUUCGGGUUGUAAAGCACUUUUGUCCGGAAAGAAAUCCUUGGCUCUAAUACAGUCGGGGGAUGACGGUACCGGAAGAAUAAGCACCGGCUAACUACGUGCCAGCAGCCGCGGUAAUACGUAGGGUGCAAGCGUUAAUCGGAAUUACUGGGCGUAAAGCGUGCGCAGGCGGUUUGCUAAGACCGACGUGAAAUCCCCGGGCUCAACCUGGGAACUGCAUUGGUGACUGGCAGGCUAGAGUAUGGCANAGGGGUUGAGAAUUCCAAUCCGUGUGAGCAGUCAGAAAGAUGCGUAGAGAUGUGGAGGAAUACCGAUGGCGAAGGCAGCCCCCUGGGCCAAUACUGACGCUCAUGCACGAAAGCGUGGGGAGCAAAACAGGAUUAGAUACCCUGGUAGUCCACGCCCUAAAACGAUGUCAACUAGUUGUUGGGGAUUCAUUUCCUUAGUAACGUAGCUAAACGCGUGAAGUUGACCGCCUGGGGAGUACGGUCGCAAGAUUAAAACUCAAAGGAAUUGACGGGGUCAUAGCUG
rnacentral:rRNA from 1 species